UGGACUACAAGAUCAGGCAAGAUACCCGCUGAG
rnacentral:rRNA from 1 species